UAAUUUCUGCUGCUAAUUCUUUAGGCUAUUUUUGCUUCUGUUCUGCUUUUGUCUCACCUGUGCUUUACUCAUUACAACUGAACAAAUUAACCUGAUGAGCACCAGUUUGUACAUCUGCAUGCUCAGUUCACUCUCAGCAUCACACAUGCAGUAUUAGAAGCACUGAUUCAUUCUUGUCAUAUAAAAAUUACAUUCAGUGACUGAGAGGCUUGUUUCUGUAAGUUCUGACAUUACAAGAAGCUUUUGCUAACAGUUUCUUCACCCUGCAAUCUUAGAUAUCUGUGCUAGAGAUGCAUGCAGAAAAAUACUGUGUUUUCCAUGUACUGCACUCAUGGACUAUACCUGAGAAAGCAACAAGUUUAUCUGCCCAGCAAUGUGGGUUAGGUUCCUGUUGGGGUGGAUAUGCAUGGCAAAGUGCAGGUCCAUUAGCAGGUUGCAAAUUAACACCUGCAGCUCCUUGCUCCUGUUUGGGCUGUUAGGGAGCUAAUGAGUGUGGGCAGAAGAUUGCCUGAGGUUUCUUACAGGUCUGGAAGUCAGACCUACAUCGUUUGUGAGCCUGUUGCCAGGCUAGCCCUGCAGCUGAGGAGAUGCUGGUGAAGAGCCUAUGUUCUGCAAGGAGAGGAAGAAGACAGAGAGGCUUCAUUAAUGGAGCAGGAGAGAAGCAGACAGUCUAAUUCUGUAGAACUAGUGCUCAUCUGAUCUGCAGGGAACACUACAUGUCACCUCCACAGCCUGCCCUGCUGAUGAGCUCCAGUCUGCUCUGCAAGGGAUGAGCUUGCCUUAUGCUUUUCAGAUCACCUGGUCAGUCUGUUUGCUGGCAAGACUUUUAUCCAGGUUCUCCAAAGGUAUGC